rnacentral:rRNA from 1 species
UACGUAGGGACCAAGCGUUGUUCGGAUUUACUGGGCGUAAAGGGCGCGUAGGCGGCAAUUCAAGUCAUCUGUGAAAUCUCCGGGCUUAACUCGGAACGGUCAGAUGAUACUGUCUUGCUAGAGUGCAGAAGGGGCAAUCGGAAUUCUUGGUGUAGCGGUAAAAUGCGUAGAUAUCAAGAGGAACACCUGAGGUGAAGACGGGUUGCUGGGCUGACACUGACGCUGAUGCGCGAAAGCCAGGGGAGCAAACGGG